CACUACGCAAAUACACUGCAUUAUAUACACACACUAUGCAAACACACUGCAUUAUAUACACACACUACACACACAAACACUGCAUUAUAUAAACACUACACAAACACACACACUGCAUUAUAUACACACACUGCACAAAUACACACUGCACAAACACACACUGCACAAACACACACUGCACAAACACACACUGAAUUAUUAUAUAACACACUACACAAAUACACUGCAUUAUAUACACACACUACACAAACACACACUGCAUUAUAUACACAGUGUGUUUGUAUAGUGUGUGUAUAUAAUGCAGUUUGUGUGUAUGUAUAUAAUGCAGUUUGUGUGUGUGUUUGUAUAGUGUGUGUAUAUAAUGCAGUUUGUGUGUGUAUAUAAUGCAGUUUGUGUGUGUGUUUGUAUAGUGUGUGUAUAUAAUGCAGUGUAUUUGUGUGCAUUGUAUACAAACACACACUAUACAAACACACACUGCAUUAUAUACACAGUGUGUUUGUGUAGUGUCUGUGUAUAUAAUGGAGUGUGUGAGGGGG